rnacentral:lncRNA from 1 species
ACGUCCUCCAAGGACUUCCCUUGCAGCUCCGUCCCGAGGAUCUGCUUGUUCAGGUUAUCGACGUAAGAUCUGUGGUGCUUUCCCCAGUGAUACGACAUGGUGUUGGCGCUCAUGUGUGGUUCCAGCGCAUCCUACAACGGAAUGAUCGACAAGACGAAAGCAACAAAAAGUCAAUAGUCUAGAGGAAUUCAGCUUAAAUCCCGGUUCAGCGACAUGCUUUGACCGAUCACGGGAUCUUGUUACCAGGGGAUAUGGAGGAGGCUUGAGCUCGAGCUUUGCAGCAGGGGUCGCGGUCGCCAUUUGCUUGCGGUUUCUUGGGACGGAAUCGAAGGAGACGGAGGGAACUCCGAUGUCAAGUCAACAACGUUGGUGUGUUCUGCCGCUUCGGGGGUUCUCGUGAGUGUUGAUGGUGUGGGGGGUUGGUAGGAGAUGAAAGGGCAGUACACUGUACUCCCCACACGCCCACCGCUGCAUGGGAGGCAGGUGUAGUACGUUGUACUAGACGUGGAACUGCUUGCACUUAUCAUCAACACACGAGCAUGCCUUGCCUUUGGAAGCGUGUGGCGUUUUUUUUUAACGAAAUGUCUUCCAAUACUUCAUCGCAGCAUCCAUACCACCUACAUUAGCAUUUAAAACCAUCAUUUACAUUUUCAUAUCCUUUUCAAAAUUUAAAGUAUGCUGUUUUUCACUUGAUCAAAAGUUUUUUUUUGGUCGAUUUUUUUUUUUUUAAUCAAAAGUUCAAAACUGGCUUUUUCUUUUAUUUGUUUAUUUAUCUUUUUUGCCGACAAAGGGUAUGAGUGUGUAUGCUGUGUUUGGAGAAAGGAAAGGAUGAAAGUGUCGGGAAGGAAGACGGUUGUGGAAAAUGGUAGGGAAAAGCGUCGGUUCUGAGUUAAACUGGAAAUCAGAUCGAAAUAGGAAUGGACCAGCCAGCUUCGGGUGGUUAGUUCGCUCUCGGCCUCUCGUGCAGCACCACCAUGGUCUCACUAUCUUGUUGCCAUCCACCAUCCCAACCAUACCAUGCUUGAGGUGCGUCUCUAUUUCUCUCUCAUGAUUUGGUCUUGUAUCCUCAUCUUCUAUUCAUGUUCUCCGUCCGUCUCAAUUUUAGGUUUUGUGGUGAUAAUCACCCUAGCUUGAGACCAAUCACCCUUAGAAAAUACAAAAUUCAAAAAUUUUGAAGAGUUUGUAACUUCAGAUUAAUGGAUUAAUUUUGCUUUUUCGAAAACCAAAAAAAAAAAGUACCAAGUUACUAUAACACAUUGACACUUUGAAAGAUGGGGGAGUCUCCUAGUUAUAUCAUAGUUCCUAAGCAAACAUUGAUACUAAAAAAUUUCCACCGUCUAUUAUCUUUUGAUUAUGCGUGUUCUGCAGAGCCAUUUCAGGCCGUUUCUCGCAGUUUGCUCUUAGGGUCGUCAGCGUGAGCUUCUCCUAACCCGGUCUUUAGUUUACCUGCACCCCUUCCUAUGACAAUGGUCAGGACAAUUUCCCAUCUUUCAUACCAUGAGAAUGCCGGAGUUGAUCAUCAUGGAACAUUAAUAGAGAUCCUAAGGACAGCGUCCAAGACCUAUGCAGGUCAAGUUUCUUAAAUAUUAGCUGGAAUGGGAAAGUAGGAUGAUUGCUAAAUAGCUGGACAGAGCACAAGCAAUCCCACCUCAUAGAUUCAGCGCAAAAUAUUGGAUAUUUCUCACGACAACAAAGAAGGGAAAGCAAAUUUCGGUCCAGUCUCCCCCCUGCGUCCUCUAAGAGAGAACAGGGAACGGGUCCGUUAUUAUGGGACCAUUUCGGGCAAAAAACAAGAAGAUGAUGAUGAUGAAAAUCUCGAGCUUCUGAACAUCUUCAGCAGAGAUGUAUAACUAGAAUCAGUACCACCCCUUCUCUCUUCUUCCUCGUCUCGUUUUAAGCAGCUUGAGCCUUGGCAACCUCAAGCUUAGUGCUAACUGCGUCCCAGGAAACGAGCUUCUCCAUGAAGAUUGAUAUGUAAUCAGGCCGUCGGUUCUGCAAGAACUCAUAGGAAAGAGAUGGUUAAGAAGUUAGACUACCCCUGACCGUCUGUAUCAGAUUUUGCAGCAUGAAUUUCUGCAUUGGGGAGCAACUGCGAAGGAACCUAACCUGAUAGUCAAGGUAGUAUGCAUGCUGCAACCCAAAUAAAAGUUUCAAAGAGUUAGUAACUUCAUAGAUAUGCUGUCUCUUUGGCAAGAAUUUGAGAGACGGAACUCAAGGACAAAAAUGAUAGUGAAGAAGAACAAGCACAGGGUACAAUCACUACAAUUCCCUUACCUCCCAUACGUCAAUCGUGAGGAGUGGCUGCAAGAAGUCCACAAAAAUAUUGUUAGAUCAUUCGUGCAAAGCAACAUACAUCAGCUAAAAUACAGCGAACGUCACAGUGAUUGCUUGGUAAUUUGCAAAUCGCUUGAGAAAACUGUACUACUUUCAACCAGAAACUCAAAGAGGGUGUGCCUCACAGUCGCACUAGGAGGAUAUCACUUACUAUGUAGCCCAGAACCAGGGGAUUCACAGCAUUGGGACUCUUCACCACUAGAAGCUCCUUCCCAUCUGAUGGACGGGGAUUAACUGUAUUUACGACAACAAAGGCCUAUUAAUUUUUCUGUCCUAUGAACAGUGCGACCCUGUUAAAAGAAAUGCAUGUAGAAGGGUCUAAUUCACUCACAAGCAAGCCAAGCCCAGCCAGAACCGAACUGCGUGGCAGCAGCUGCUCUCAACUCUUCACACAACUUCUCGAAAGAACCGAAAUCUCUCUCGAUCAACUUCAGAAGUUCUCCAGAUGGCUUUCCUCCGCCACCCGGUUUCAUUGAUUCCCAAAAGAAGUCAUGGUUCCAGAUCUGCAAGUGAUUUAAUUAAGAGUGCAAAACUGAAAUUAAAAGGGUAGACAAAAAAGCAUCGCCACAAUUGUUGAGUGGAGGGACUGAGAGUGAGGGUAAGACAUCGUUUGAACUUGGCUAUAGGAAUCUGUGCUGUCACCAUAUAUAUGUCCAACCUCGAUGCAUGGUUUUUUGGCCCGGAUGUAUAGCAUAUGAUUGUAUUAAAAUACAGGAUGAUUGCAAUUUUACCUCGACAUCAGACAAAUCAAAAAGAUGCUGAAAUGAGCUUAAAAGAAUUUAUAGUCACGCAACCAUCGGCAUCAGGUAAUUUCAUUUCGUCUCCACGCAAUCAUCUCAUCAGAAAGGCAUCUCAAACGAUUAUGUUAGGUCCAGAUCACCAUACCUGUGCAGCAUUAUUGAACGGAGGAAGAAGGUCGCCGUCGUUGUAUGUCUGAAUUACGAUGUCCUCCAAGGACUUGGCUUCCAGCUCCGUCCCGACUAUCUGCUUGUUCAGAUUGUCGACGUAGGCUCUGUGAUGCUUUCCCCAGUGAAACGACAGGGUGUUGGCGCUCAUGUGCGGCUCCAGCGCAUUCUACGACAGAGGAUCGAUAAGAUCAAGUAAAGGCAAAUUGUCAAAUUCAGGAAUUCUACCGUGCAAGGAAUGGAAUCGUAUGCGAUUUCUCACAUUCCUCUUUCGCAUUGGCUAAUCUGUUCCCGAAGGCUUUCGACAUUUUAUCUACACAAGAUUCUUCG